rnacentral:rRNA from 1 species
AUGCCGGCCAUCUCCUCGAUGGCCGUCAUCCGCUUGGUGAUGGCGCCCUGCUGCGAGAGCUUGUGGGAGCCGAUGGCCAUGGUGACGGAGAGCACGGUGGGCAUGGCGAUGGGGAUGCCGCCGAUGAGGAGCACGAGGAGGUUGUCGAUGCCGUCGCGGUACCGGCGGUGCUGGAUCGGGUACAUGACGACGAUCUCCACCAGCAUGCCGAUGGCGAUGGACACGAUGCAGAAGUUGCCGAUCGCAUGUUUUGAGUAA